ensembl:rRNA 5S_rRNA 5S ribosomal RNA
GUCUCUGGCCACACCACCCCGAACGCGCCUGAUCUUGUCUAAUCUCGGAAGCUAAGCAGGGUAGGACCUGGUUAGUAUUUAGAUGGGAGAUCUCCUGGGAAUACCGGGUGCUGUCAUCA